rnacentral:rRNA from 1 species
UACGUAGGGUGCAAGCGUUAAUCGGAAUUACUGGGCGUAAAGCGUGCGCAGGCGGUUUUGUAAGGCAGGUGUGAAAUCCCCGGGCUUAACCUGGGAACUGCAUUUGUGACUGCAUAGCUAGAGUACGGCAGAGGGGGAUGGAAUUCCGCGUGUAGCAGUGAAAUGCGUAGAUAUGCGGAGGAACACCGAUGGCGAAGGCAAUCCCCUGGGCCUGUACUGACGCUCAUGCACGAAAGCGUGGGGAGCAAACAGG